GCACCCUGCGUCUCUGAUCUGGGCCGCGUCCCGCUCCAGCGCGUCCAGCAGCAGUCAAGGUUCUAGGUGCAGUUGCAGCUUUUCUUCCUGUGCUGAGCAUAAAUGAACUGGCCAUUUAAAAAAGUAAAAAAUGUAGAAAAAACCUAAAGCCCAUUAGGAUUUAAUCCUAACUCAAGAUGGUGAUGACCUUACUGGCAUAUGGCACCCUGUCCCAAAGUAAAAAUCCUAACUCUCCUGUUUGCACUGAAUAAGCUCUAUGGCCCAUCCUCUUUGGAACUCAGUGCAGUUAAUCUAAUCUACUGAUACUUAAUCCACGACUCUUUAGCUGCCUGUGGCCCUUUACAGGUCUUCAUGAGGCUCUCAGAAAUUGUGCACAUCUGAGUGGCACUCCACUCCUCUAUUUGGAUUUGGCAAAUCAAUUCACCUGUGUUGAAAUAGCUGAGAUUUUCCUCCCUGUGGAUGGGGUGAAAAGGAGCCACUGGGAUUGUCUCCGUAUGUAACUGUGGAACCACUUCCAAGUCACAGCCAGGAGAGGAGGAGAAAGAGGUGAAUUCCCCCUCUAUUCCACCAUGAAAGGCUGGCUGAUAGACUGAUACUUUCCUUUACCCUUCCUCACUCCCCCACUGACUGACGAGAAUGUUUCCUGUCAUAUUGUGAUAUUGCUUCAGUGCUCUGUGGCACAAGAGCAGUUACAUAGGCGAGAAUAUAGUCAAUUUAUCAUCAAAUUGCCUCCCAAUCCUGUAAGAAUAUUUCAGCAAAUUUUUGGUGUAGCAGAAACUCCAGCUUGUUCUUGAGGUUCAACGACAGCGCAAAUGUGCUUAGUCCACCUUCAUAACUGUUCAAAGCCCUCCAUUCAGCAAUACGCAGCAAGGUGACCACUAGCAGAAACAUCACUCUGGCAUAGAUUGCCAGAUCUUCUCCACAGGACUGGAAAGCCACCUCUCUUUUCCAUUCUGAUACCUUGAAAACUGCUAUGUUCUCCAGAUGUUGGCUAGUCUUUAAAGAAGAAAUUGCAAACUGGUAACAGUCCCUUGAUGGAACUGCCACCUCCCUCCCCAUACCCUACGUAAGACACUAUGAAAAUUUUACAUUUUUAAAAACUUUAGUACAUGUAUUUUACCAUUAGUAGCCUCUGCUCUUUCCUCAGGGGCUGCAAAGGUUGUCUCAGAACCAAGGGUAGUCUAACAGUCACAUUCCUGAAAUGCUGAAAAUUAUCAAAAUUGUGGCCUUCUACAUCAAAUUUAUGUUAUAUGGGGGGGAUUUCUUGGUUUCUUCCAAAGGAAAAACAACAUAUAAUUUCUUUGAAUUGGCAGUACCUUUGACUCCUGAGAUGAAAACCAUUCUGCUGGGAGGGCAGGGGCAGCACUGCAGAGGCAGACAGAGAAGGCCGCCAUAGGACCUGCUCAUUGGCAUGAACAGGAGAAACCAGGAGCAGUUUGCAUUCCUCAAGUAUGGAAGGAUCAGGCUCUUCAGCAGGAAGAGACACUGAUGAACUGGUUCCUGGAGCAGGAGGCAUGCUUAGGGAACGGGAGCAUUCCCUAAUGCUCAUAGAACUGGUAGCUGAACAGUUUUGGAGUCUGUUUGCUGUCAUGGCCACAUCACCUCUCUGUGAACCAGCCCUACCUCCUCCUCCUCCGGCUGCCACCCAGGGUGCUGCUGAGGCAGAGGACCCAAGCUCCCCUGAGAAUGGAAGGAGCCUGUAGGACUCCCAGGACCACACCCUCUGCCAGCAGCCAAAACCCCUCACAGCAGGACCCCACUGAGCAUCCAAGUGAGGAAUGGUGAGCCUGUGGGAAUCCCUGAAGCCAUCAAGUGCCUGCCCCCCAGACUACACACACAAAAUGUCCCCAAGAGCAGUUUUCCACAGUCAUUCCCCCUUUGUUAGGUGGUGGGGGAGGUCAAGGAGACAGAUGCAAAUGCAUUAAUAUUUGACCGUUGUUUAUGGAUUCAGUCCCAUUACAUUUUGUUGCUUUACUCCUUUUAAAAAUAUUUCAACUACAUGUUUCAUAUACUACUUUUAAUAAAUGUCAUCAUUUCCUUGA